rnacentral:lncRNA from 1 species
UGUUUAUCCAAGAUUACCUAGUGGUUCUUUCCAUUGUUUUCUAACAGGAAGAGCGGGUCAUCACAUGAUGUCACACAGCUAGCAAGUGUCUGAGGCUGGAUUUGAACUCAGGAAGAUGAGUCUUCCUGGCUCCUGGCUUGGUGCUUUCUGCAUUAUGGCGCCACCUAACACAUAGUAAGCCAUCACUUGUUGCCUUGACUUGUUGAAGAACUAUGCAAAGAUCACACACAAGACCUUAGAAGAACAGCAGCCCACCCAGCCCGCCAGAGAUCCACCAUUGCUAGAGCCUGCAGCUUAACAUAACUCCCUUCCCCCACCCUCUGGAAAAGAACCAGUUCCCUAAAGGAGAAGCCGGAGCUAACUGCUUAUUAUCUGCAAAUCCCGGUGGUGAUGAGGCCUGCCAGCCCCCAAACAGGAAACAAGGCAGAAAACAAUAAUUAGACCCGAGAACCGCAGCUCCUAGAGGUGCCUGACUCUCCCUUCAAGUGCAGACAAGCCACACGGAUGAAGUCACCUGAAGGGAGUCGGGACAAUCUGUGAUUGGCUCCCUACCUGGAAGGAAUUUUGCGACCUGAUGUGAUAACCUCCCCCACCCCCAAGCUGUACCAUUUCCUCUCCAUUAUGGCACUGGCUCCUAGAAGGUGGACUGGUAAAGUAUUGUUGGACAUCAAUGGACUGGCUCUUGGAACAAUCCAGAAGGAAUAAAAGGACUCAAAAAUAGCCAGUGGGGAUGGAGAAGUCCAACCCUAGCCAACUACCCCUGAGUAAGAGUUAAAAAAAAAUAAUAAAGUAACUGUUUAAGUGGACA